GAGCCGAGAUGGCGCCACUGCACUCCAGCCUGGGGACAGAGCGAGACUCCGUCUCAAAAAAAAAAAAAAAAAAAAUACAUUUAAUGUAAAGCCCUAAUCAGAGGCAACGUGUAAAAGCAGAGAAAGCCAGAUAUCUUGGAGUAGGGAGAAAAAAAGAACUUCCAACACUGUGUUGAAUAGGAGUGGUGAGAUUUUCCUGCUUUUUUCUAUGCCUGGAGGCUCCAGGAAUGAGUUUUCUGUGGUUGCUGGUAGCUUGAGGGUGAAAAAUGAAAACAGUGAAUCCCUCUGAAAAGAGUCAAACCAACAUCAACAGGCAGCACUGGAGUUAGAAAAUAUGACGCUUUUGGAGGCCUCACAUACUCCUAUCUUGAUCCAUCCAUUGAUACUAGUAUGGCAAGUAGGUGUGAGUGAAACUGACCUGUUUGGUCACACAUCUAGAAUUUUCUGAAAUUUGUCUCUGAAAAUGUCUCCUCAUCUGCCUUUGAGUGGUAUGGAAUCACUGCUGAGCCUCCACUAUUGGUGCCAUCAAAGACCUCAGUGAUGCCAAGUUUCUGGCAUCAUGCUAGGUUCUAAGGAUACAAAAAUGAAUGAGAUGCUAUCACCUGCUGUCAAGAAAUUCACAGCCUAGGGAGAGAGUGACAUAUGACCAGAGAGGGUCCAAUGUGGACAGAUAAUGAAGAAGGGAGUCAGCAGAGGAGAUUCUGAGAACACAAAGGAGAAGAGAGGCAGCAACCCAGCGUGGGUGGGGUGAGCUGAUCAGAGAAGGCCUCCUGGAGCAGUGCACCCAGAGCUGAUAUGGAGUUGGAAAGAUUAAAGGCUGGAUGGUGAUGAGCAGAUUUCAUCUUUCUGCCAAGAACAGAUUGACCCUGAGCAAGGAUAAAAAGGCCAGCCAUAAGGAGACAUGACAAAUACCAUUGAGUACUGCAGAGCAACUUGGCAGCUGCCCGAGAAUGUGAUGACACAGAAUAAAGAUGUGAGACAGAAUCUGUGCUGAGGUCUAAAUUCACAUUGGAAGUCUGGGAAGAGAAGACUGUUUAUAAAAUUAUAGCCCAGGAAUUGCUGCCAAAGUCGGCCUUUGGUGCAGCUGUAAGUCGGAUGGAAUCCACCUUCCUGACGUCAGACCCACCCACUGGAACACUGCUCCUCUGACUGGGGCUUCCCUGAAUGGAAACUACAUGUCAUACUGCAAAAGACAGGGUCUCACUAUGUUGCCCAGGCUGGUCUCAAAUUCCUUCUCAAGUGAUCCUCCCACCUCAACCUCCCAAAGUGCUGGGAUUGCAGGCAUGAGCCACUGCACCCAGCAGAAAUUCUUAACGAGGCAAGGCCAACAGAGGCCAUUCAUUCAACAUCACGGCACCAUAGUGGCCUCUUUUUAAGACUCCUCAGGUUCCAGAUAGAUUUCAUCACUCAAGAUAAGCAAAUGAACCACAGAAUUUUGAAGUUAGAGAACAACUUCUGAAAGAGAAAAAAGUCUUUGUCUCAGUUUCUGCUCUCCAGAGGUAACCCAAAGAGGUAAGGAACCCAGUGAGAAAGACAGAGAGAAGUAUGGACAAGAAACAGAUCCUAAACCUGUUUUGUUUUAUUUUUGGUAGUAGUUGUUUAUUUUUGAAAACAUUCAAACCACCUGUAUUGGUGGCUGUUAUUAUGAAAUAAAUAAACUGAGAAACAACAAGACAAUUUGGCCUCUACAAUUUGUUUAGUUUUGACUAAGUAUUUGCCUUGGAAGAAGUAUGUGUACAAUACUCAUUUUUAAAAGAUGCAACAGUCACCUCGUUACUUGGAGUUUUACUUGAGACUUGAAUGGACUGAAACCACCUGGUCACCACUAGAAGCUACAUCAAGGAAAAGAAAGGCAACAUAUUGAAUCUCUUGGGAGAAACUCAUCCUGUAUCUGCUCGAUUGAAAACAUGAAGGUGCACAUUCCAAGCUGCAUAUGCUCAGGUCCGAGUUUCCAAGGAAACAAGGGACUGCUCAUCUAUCUGCAAAACUGAACUGACGAGUCACUUUCAGCUUGUUACAAACCUUGAUUCUGAAUCAAAUUCUAGUGUGCAGUCUAAAAAUUCUCACUGCCUUGUCAUUUCUGCCGAGCAAACCCCUGAUGCUAUGAGGCUGGCAGUUGGGCAGGGAUUUUCCUGGGUUGUGCACUCUAAUUUUUUCCUCUGCACUGUUAGUGAAAUACUGUCAUUGAGAACCAGCUCCACACUGCACCUAUGUGAGAAAGGCCUUGGUUUCUAUCAGUAAAGUCAGACAGGGCUAUGUGCAUUUGGGAUGCCCUGGUCAACCAUACAGGAGGAAGCACAGUGGUCUUCCCAGCUCUCACAGUGGCCACCAGCUCUCAGGCUCACAAACUAGGCAAAGCAAAGAGCAACAGAACAACCUACUUCCCAACUUUCAUUAGUCACUCAAAUCCAAGUGGGUGAUCGUAUUUCUGAAGGUCUUGAAUACAGGACUUCCUGACCAUUCUUUAGCAUUUACUGAUGAAAGUAUUUCAGAUGUGUUAUGUUGUUUGGCAUGUGUUAUGUUGUUUGGCAAUCACAGUAAGUGUUGAGAUAGAUACUAUGAUUAUCUUCAUUCUCUAGGAACAGGCACAGAGAGGUUAAGUAAUUUCCCAAAGGUCACACAGUUUGUAAGUGAUAAAACUGAUUUGAAGCCAAACUAUGUCACCCCAAACUCAUAUUUUUAACACUUUAUUCCAUCUUCUAAAAGGCUGGCUAUUCUAUUUUUCUCUAAGUUUCAAAUUAGUAUGCCCAUUCCCUUGUUCAUUCAUUCAUUCAUCCAACAAACAUGUGUCAGGCAUCUAUGCCAGGCUCUGUGGAUAUAGUAUAAUAACAAACAAGACAGAUAAGAUUUCUCAGGGAGCUUACGUUUUGUAGAGGAGACUAAAUAAAUAAGCAAGCACAAACAAUGUAGAGUUUGUAAUAUUACCUAUCCCAGCAAAGGAAACCAACACUAGUGUGAGAAAAUUAAAUUAUAAAAGACCCUAACAUUUUCAAGAUACUGAAGGGGAUGAGAUGAAGCAGAGGUAGAGUGGGGCUGGAUUAUGCUGAAACACAUAGAACAGACUGGAUUCUAUUUUAAGUGAGGUGAUAAAUUCUUAAGGGUUUGUCAUUUUUGAGGUAGAACUGUCUUUUGUUCCUAUUGUAAAGAAACUACAUAGGUAGGCAUAAAAUACACCUGUAUGCCAGAGAUAGAAAAAUUCAUAUAAUUCCCAACUCCAAUUCUAUUUCUCUAGGAUAAUUUUAAUUGUGUAUAUGAAACAUAUCUCAAUGUUCUUGAAAGACUGAAAUCCACUCUUUUUAUUAUUUAUUGACUUAUUGAUUUGUGGUUAAGGAAAAAGUAGACUGAAGUAAAAAUAAAGAGUGCAGGAGUAUAAUUGCACAAGAAGUGGGAGGGAGACUUGUUGAACAGGCAACAGCCUAAAGUGAGUAUCCAUGAGUGGGCUCAGUAUGACCCUGCAGCUCCCCCAUCACACUUGCACCCACCUCAAGGAAUCCAGUUCACCUCUAUGGAAAAUCCCUGGGCUCCACGGGACAGAGUCUUGUUUUGUUUUACAUCUGUGUGUCCAUGCCUAGCCAGUAUCUUGUUUAGUGCAGCCUUUCCAUAAUAUUUGUGGAGAGAAAGAAAAAUGAAAGGAAGAAGAGAGGGAGGGGAAAAAGAAAGUGAGAGGAAAGAAGAAAGGUAAAAAGGAAGUAGCACUCUUGGUUUUGCUUCUCCUUGGCUGUUUCGUUAUUCUCAGUACUCCCCAACCCAUCUUCCUGGGAUAAGAAAAAAAAAAGACAUCUAAAAUGACACUUCCAAAAGAUUAAUAUUUUCAUUUCAACACUUCUGAAAGUAUUUCAAUGAAAUUGCUUUCAAAUGGUUUAUUUUAUAUUAGAUCAUUGAGAGAUAGAUUAAUGUCAUAAACGUAGGUACUAGCAAGCAAUAUUUUUGUCUCCUAUGUGCACAUAUUGUAUAUUUCAUAUCCUCUGAUAACUUGAAGUCACUAAUUUAAGUCAAAUUAGGGAAAGGGCAGUAUAGUAAUUGCAAUAUUUUCGGCUCCUUCUUGGUAACAAAUGCAGCUUCUUUUUUCCCCUCCACCCAUAUAUGAGUCUUCUUUUUCUUUGGCUAAGAUAUAAUAGCACUGCUCUACAUGAACAAAACUAUUUUUACUGGCUAUGUUAUUACUGAGAAAUGCAUUGGGAAAAUGUAAAAAUAUUUCACCUUUAUGUUGAAGAAAAUAAACACAGUGGAUUAGAUAAAAUUUGCACAGCUCUUGACAUGUGCCAUAUGUAACAUUUGGGAAACAUCAAAAAAGAGGCUCUGACUUCUUCGGAGAAUCAUAGACUCUGGCACUGGAGGGGGACUGAUCCACCAC
rnacentral:lncRNA from 1 species